UGCAGUGGGGUGGGGGUCCUUGGGCAGGACAGAGAACCCUGGGAACCUGUGCAGUGGGAUGGGGUUCUUGGGCAGGACAGAGAACCCUAGGAACCUGUGCAGUGGGGUGGGGUCUUUGGGCAGGACAUGUGAGUGCCAGAGCAGGAACCUUAUUUUCCAUUGGUGUGCUGGAGAGUAAGGCUGCCCUCCAUGGGGACCUAGGCAAGCUGGAGACCUGGUUUGAUGGGAACUUGGGGGACAUGGAGAGAUGCCAGGGAAAGGAGCUGGGGAAGGAGCCUGCUGUGCAGUAUGGCUGACUGGCCAGCACCAGCAGGAGCCCUGUGGGAAAGGGCCUGGGCAGGCAGGGGACACCCAGAUCUGUGGUGGACAAAGGGAGCUCGGGUGUGCAGUGUGCCCUGGCGGCAGCAGAACCGGGCUGCAUUCAGUGCUGUGGUACCAGAGCCACAGGCAGCAGCUUAAGGCAUGUGACAGCCCCUCUGCACAGCUUCACCUGGAGGAACGUGUUCCAGCCUGGGGCUUCUGGUGAGAGAGAGACCAACAAAUGGGAACAAGUCUGGGAGAAGGUCAAAAGGUGGUCAAAAAAUGAGCAUAUCGUGUUCAGGGAAGUGAGGUGGGUCUGUUGAGCCCAGAGAAGGUCACUGUCCUCAAGUGCCUCACAGGGAAGAGAGAUUGAUGUUUCUCAGAGAAGCACCAUGAGAAGAUGAGAGUAGGCAGCCAGGAGAUGCAGGAAAGUAUAUUGUGAACAUACAGAUGAAAGAAAGUUUUGAAGUGAUAGUGGGUAAUGCCUGCAUUGUGGGUGCCAUGCCUGGAAGGUUAUUGCAAUAUCCACCCUUGAGUAGUAGUGGAGUAGGUGCCCUCCAGAAGACCUGUCAUGUUAAAUGAAUCAAUAAUUCUAAAAGAUAAUAAAGUCUGAAAAAUCAAAAGUAAUCAUAUUAUUACAGGGCAGUUAACAGCUGAUGGAUUUACAGCAGUAAAUGCUGACAGAUGAUUCACAACACAGUGGGCACCUGCUAUGCCUGAAAAAAUGAAGACAAACAUCUUGCCUGCUGAAGAAGGAGAACCGGAAGGAGGAUUUACCUGAAAAGGAAAGAUGAACAGUGAUGCCAUUCUCCUCAAACAGCUGAGUGUCCUGGCCACGGCUUUUGGAAAUCUUGGAUGCUUGGCUUCUCUGAUCUUUGGCACUUAUCCUGCAGCUCAUGACUCUGAUGCAGUCAGCCCACAGGCAGGGCUGCCUUGGUGUGGUACAACCUGGAGCCAUACAUUAGCUGAUCUCUAUGAAGUAUGGACAGAUCUCGUGGGAGUUCCAAUGGCUGGUUGAAAAGCCUUUAAGGCCAGACACAAGAAGAAUGACUUCUUCUAGGCUUGUUAAUGAGGACUGUAAAUCCAGGCAGACUUUGGAAUGACUCCUAGGAAAACAAAGAUUAACUGCUGUGAAUGUUCCAAACUCCAUGUUCUGCCCCAUGAGAAGCAGAGAAAUGCCAUGCAUUUUCAGUUGUCAUCUGAGAGGGAUCCUACACACUGGCUCUGGGAAGGAAACUGCCUUUGGUUAGAGCAACUUGUGUCUGGACUCAAAUGGACACUUUACAGAACAGAGGUAUCCAAAGACAGGGUGCAAGCAGAAGAAAGCAUCAUGGAGCUGCAAAUAUGGUUCCAGCAGAAUAUUAGGUGCUUUGUACAGGAGUCAUUCAAAAUGUCAUUGACUAUCAGCUCUCUCUCUCUCUGUGUUACUUCCACAGUCAUGUCUUCUCAGAGCUGCCAUGCCUCGUGUGAUAACUAGUAUGGGAGAUGUGGAAGCAAAUAACAAGCAAGGCAGCAAGGUAAAUCAUUCCAGGUGGAGGAUUUCCAGCCCACCAGGUGCAAGGCUGUGCCUGGCAGCACCUCCCUUGCCCAGGGGCAAGUGGAGCAAGAGGGAAGGCGUAUUACAGACCUGAGGGGAGCUGCACAGGAUGGCCAGUGUCUCAUCUGUGUGACCAGUGCCACCAUGAGUUGGUGUCCAGUAGAAGUGUAUGGGGGUUUUGUUUGUUUUUCUUUGAAGGCUGAUUUUUCUAGAAGAGCAAGGGCUGAAGCUGGAAGCAGUAACUCUGUUGUGAGAGCACUGCUCUGCCUUGUAACAAAGGCUCUGUUGUGCUGGCACACAGCACAGUGCCCAAAGCUCAGGAUGUUUUCAGCCUAUUUGCUUUCAUUUGUAUUUGAGUUAAUCUGGCACAGCUGCUGGAGAAUAACACCAUAUAUUAAGGGUCAUUUUAAUCAAAUGGAUCCUUGAUACUCUGAUUUCUUCCUACUGGCAGUUUGCAUGGAAAAGGCAAUUAACUACAACUCUAAACUGAUGGCAUGACCUUAAAAAAUAUUAAUUAUGUCAGAGUCUGUCCUGGCCACUCAUUCAAAAAUCGGAGCAUGGAAAACAAAAGUCAGAAAACCUGUUGCAAUAUUUUUAUAUUUAAACUAGCAUAUCUCCAACCAGAGUACAAAAAUGAGUGACUUUUGGGUAAUUCUCUCUUAUGGAAGGCACUGCAAGAAUUCUGUCCCUCCUCUGCAGGAGAAGCCUUGUUCUGUCUUUGAGAAAAGAUUCCAUUUGAGACCAGAAAAAUUGAGAAAUAGGGUCUAUAUCCUUUUGGACUGAGUUCCUUUCCCUCUCCCUCUUCUUCUCUCUCUCCCACUCCUCUCCUCUCCCAAAAGUAGCCACAAGAAAAUUUAUUAGGAUUAAUGAGUUUAUGUGUACUGAAAAUUAGAGAUCUACAAGGCAAAGCAAAACCACUCAAUUUAUAGUAUAGGCUAUGUGAUAGGAAUGGUUCACAGAGUGUAAUAAGUGCACUAUGGAGGAUCUUAGAUGUGUGAAAUAAGAAAGAGAAAUUAAUGUAUGACAAUCAACUGUAGUUUUUCCUUUGUUUAUUUUUGUCUUGCUCCUUUUAAAGAUAUGUGUGCCAGAGAGUCCCACUGAGCUUUCACAUGUGUCAGGCAUCAGAUGACCUACCUAGUGUUCUGAAUUACUAUUUGUCCUUCAGUCAGAG